rnacentral:rRNA from 1 species
GAUGAACGCUAGCGGCAGGCUUAACACAUGCAAGUCGAGGGGCAGCACGGGUAGCAAUACCUGGUGGCGACCGGCGCAAGGGUGCGUAACGCGUGAGCAACAUGCCCUAUACAGGGGGAUAAUCCAGGGAAACUUGGUCUAAUAUCCCAUAGCAUUUAGAGGAGGCAUCUUCACUAAAUUAAAGCUUCGGUGGUAUAGGAUUGGCUCGCGUGACAUUAGCUAGAUGGUGAGGUAACGGCCCACCAUGGCUAUGAUGUCUAGGGGUUCUGAGAGGAAGACCCCCCACACUGGGACUGAGACACGGCCCAGACUCCUACGGGAGGCAGCAGUGAGGAAUAUUGGACAAUGGAUGGAAAUCUGAUCCAGCCAUGCCGCGUGCAGGAAGACGGCCCUAUGGGUUGUAAACUGCUUUUAUAUGGGAGCAAUAAGGUUUACGAGUAGACCGAUGAGAGUACCAUAUGAAUAAGCAUCGG